rnacentral:lncRNA from 1 species
GGAACUUCCUUCCUGCCCCCUCCGAGUUUUGCCUCUCUCACUGGCAGCAACCCAGCGCUUCCAUUGCUGACCUCUACCGACCUCUACCUGUGGUCCUUCCUCUACUGCAGCAGAGACACUGUUUUCUUCCUUUGUUCUUCCAACCCCAUGGGGAAUAUCACAGAAGUGAAGUGCAAUUCUCAUCAUGUCAUAUCAAGAGCACACACUAACAAACAACAUGACUUAUUGCUGAAUAUUGAACUUGAUCACCUGGCUGAGGUAGUGUUUGCCAGAUUUCUCUGUAAAGGUGAAUAAACUGACACUGGAACAUUCAGGAACUUCUUCAUGGUCAUGGUCACCCAGCUAGAGUGUGGAAGCCAGGCUGUCUGAUUCCAGGAUCUGUGUUCUUAAUCCUAUACAUAAGGAAGCCAUAAUGAGUCAACCACUAUUUUUAAGAUUCACAGAUGUUCGGGUCCAAUUCACCAGAAUGCCAAGUUAUACAGGGUUGUGGAAUCAAAAACUGCAAUUAGUAAUAAAAUGUGAUGCUAUCUAGAAUGUUUUUCAUACAUAUAUAUGCUUCUUGGGACUCUCCCUGCAGGUUAAGAGAAAUUGAGAAACGAUGGAGAAUUUAAGUGUUUUAGAUCCUACAUACAUUAGACUUAAAAAUAGUAACUAUGUACAUGAGUAUUUGUAAACUUAAGAAUGAACAUAACAUGAACCAUGUGGCACCUAUAAAAUGAAAAUAAAAUACCUACAAACCAAAUGAGAGCAAUAAAAGAAGCUUUAAGGACUUUCACUUCAGGGAGUCUGAAUUAGAUGCGCUUCUUCCCAUUCCUCCCUCUAAUUACAACAAGCUUGGACGUUACAUACAGAACAAACAGAAGGAGUCUCUGAAAGAUGAAGAGAAGGCAAGUAAGCUACAGACUUCACAAUGUAAGGAAUAAUAUGGUGGUGAGUUACAUUUGUGAUUUUUUUUUGUCUCAUAUCCCAUAAUAUCUCAUAUCUCAUAAUCAGUUAGAAAGCACAAUGGAAAAGUAUUCCACUGCCAAUGGUGUUAGAGAACUGCUCACAAAUUCAACAGAAAUGCACAGAUACCAAAGCAGAAAGGACAAUAAACAAGAGUCUUCAUGGUCAAAAGAUUAGAAGCUGCAGCUUUCAAUGGGAGGGACAGGUUCUGGACCACACUGCAGUGCUUUUCUGCUUUCUGUGCUUUCCCACUCUAGAGCUGAAGAAGGUAACGACCCCAAAAUGUCAAUAUACGUAGACCAAAAACCAGCCCCAAUAAAAGUCUGCUCUCUCUAGCCAAAGGACUACAGUAGGGCAGCCCAGCAAGACAGAAAACCUUCAGACAACCUACCCCAGCCAAACACUACCAAAAAAAGUAAAGUGAGCCAUCACCCAAUCCACAUCAGUAAAAACUAAGUGGAAAGUCCAGACUUUCACCUCAAGAGGUUGCGACAAGCUACUCCAAUACCCCUGCUGGGAUAGUGUCACAGAAGGCUAAAUAAGGAGCUGUAAUGUUGAUUCCCCUCCAGAAGUAAAGAGUCCGUACCUGCUAUUUUCAGAGAGACCACAUGGAAAGCCUAGAUUUCAACACCUACCCAGCAUUAAUGAGGUAUUCCUUCCCUUCUUUACUCUCUGGUGUCAAAGAAGCUCCAUGCAGAGUCAGAAUGUUUGGCAUUACUCCUCAGUAGGGAGGCCACCCCCACCACGGUGUUAGUGGAGACCAUGUGAGGACCAGGACUUGUACCCUGCCCAGAAGUAAUGAGUAGACCCCCCUCUACAGGAAGGCCAAAGGGCAACCUAAACUUCUACCUCUCUCUGGCAGUAAUAAAGUAGGGCCUCACUUUUCCCUGCUGAGCAAUGUCAAAAAAAAAAGCCAGCUGAAGUAAAAGCUUAUUUCUUUCUUUCUUUAUACAUAUUUUUGGAGACAGGGUCUUAUUCUGUCACCCACGCUGGAGUACAGUGGCCUCAUCAGGUCUCACUGCAGCCUCAACCUCCUGGGCUCAAGCAAUCCUCCCACCUCAGCCUCUUGAGUAGCUGAGACCACAGAUGUGCACCACCACACAUAGCUAACAUUAACAUUUUUUCUAGAGAUGGGGUCUUCCUGUGUUGCCCAGGCUGGUCUGGAACUCCUGGGCUCAAGUGAUCCUCCCACCUUGACCUCCUGGAGGGCUGGGAUUACAGGUAUGAGUCAUCACUCCAGGCUGAAGCUUUAUAUAAUAACCAGAGUCUCAUAUUACAAAAUGUCAAAGAUUCAGUCAAAAGUUACUUGAUAUCAAUGGACAAGAUCUCAAACUAAAUGAAAAAAAGACAAUUAAUAGAUGCUAACACUGAGAUAACAAAGUUGUUAGAAUCAUCUAACAAAGAUUUUAAAGCAGCUAUAAUAAAAGUGCUACUGCAAGUGAUUAUAAACAUGCUUGAGACAAAUGAAAAAGUGCUAUAAAGCUAAGAAAUAAAAUAUAUAAAUAAGAAUCAAAGAGAAAUUAUAGAACUAAAAGAUACCAUAACUGAAAUGCAAAGCUCCGUGGAUGGACUCAACAACAGAAUGGAAAAGACUGAGGAAAGAAGUAGUUUACAGGAAAUUAGAAUAGACUAGAAAAAAUGAACAAGACCCUGUGCUAAAGAGCAAAUAUUUAUGUCAUUGGAUUCCAGGAAAGAGAAAAGAAUGAAAAAGUACUUAAAUAAUGGCUUAAAAACUUCUCACAUUUUGCAAAGAUUUAAACCUACAAUUUGAGAAGCUGGGUAAACCUUAAACAGGAUAAAUCAAGGACACUCACACCAAGAAACAUAGUAAUUAAACUUCUGAUUAAGGAAGAAAAAGAAAAAUCUGGAAAGCAGCAAGAAAAAAAUGACACACUUUCUAUAUGGUAAAAGCAAUUUGAACAACAGAAGAUUUCUCAUCAGAAACUGUGGGGACCAUGAGGAAGUAACAGAUAUUUUUCAAGUGCUGAAAUAAAUCAACUGUCAAUACAAAAUGCUCUACUCAGUGAAAAUAUCUUUCAGGAAUAAAGGGGAAAUCAGGACACGCACAGACUUUUUUUAAAUUAAGAAUUUAUUGUCAGCUUAUCUCCCUAAAAGAAUGGCUAACAUUCUCCAAACACGAAGGAAAUUGAUAAGGAAUCUUGAAAUUUCAGUUAGAAACAAUGAAUAUGGCAAGCAAAAUGUAGGUCAGUACACUAAGUUUAAUUUCUCCUCUUGAAUUUUCUAAAUUAUGACUUAUGAUUGAAGCAAAAAUCAUAACAUUAUCUGAUGUAUAUGUAGAGGAAAGAUUUAAGACAGUGAUGUUAUAAAUGAGGGGAGUAAAGGAACAUGAGAUAACCACUAAUAUGACAUACCAAUAGACUAUGAUAAAUUAUGUGUCUAAUGUGAUUACUAGAAAAACCAGUUAAAAUAUAAAGAUUGACGGAGUGAAUUUAAAAACAUGACACACUAUAUGCUGUUUAUCAUAAACUCACUUUGAAGAUAAUGCCAUCGUCAGGUUGAAAUCAAAAGGAAUAAAAUAGUGUAUUAUGUAAACCAUCAAAAAGAGCAGGAAUGGCCAUAUUAAUAACAUUAAAGUCAGCUUCAGAACUAAGGAAAUUAUCAGAGAGGGACAUUAUAUAAUGAAAUAGUCGAUUUACCAAAAGAACAUAGCAAUCAUAAAUGUGCAUGAAGCAAACAACAAAGCUGGAAAAUAUAUGAAGUGAAACUGAUAGAUCUAAAAGGAGAAACAGAUAAAUCCAUUCAUUAUAGUUGGGGCCUUUAUCACCCCUCACUCAACAAUUGAUAGAACUGGACAGAAAACCAGUAAGAAUAUAAAAGAACUCAACAACAUGAGACAAUAGGAUCUAGUUGAUAUUUAUAGAACAUUCCAACAGCAGAAUACAUGUUCUUCAAGUGCUCACAGAACACACAUAUAAAGAUAGACCCUGAGCAUAAAACAAGCCUCAACAAAUUUAAAAGAACUGAAAUACUACAAGUACUUUCUCCAACCACAAAAGAACCAAACUAGAAAUAAAUAACAAUGAUAAUGGGAAAAUCACCAAACACUUGAAAACUGAACAACAAUAUUUUAUAACCCAUGGUCAUAGAGGAAAUCUCAAAAGAAAUUUUAAAAAUGCACUGAACUGAAUGAAAAUGAAAACAACAUAAAAUUUGUGAGACACAUAAAGCAGAACUGAUGGGAAAAUAUAUAGCACUAAAUGCAUGCUCUAGAAAAGAAAAGUCUUCAACCAGUAACCUAAGCUUCCACCUCAAAAACCUAAAAAAAGAAGGAAAAAUAGACCCAAUGCCAGCAGAAAGAUGCAAUAACAAAGAGUAGAACUCAAUGAAAUUGAAAACAGAUAAACACUUUAAAGAAUAAAACAAAGAGCUGGUUAUUAGAAAAGAUCAAUUAAUUGAUAAACCUCAAGCAAGACCGUCAAAAAAAAAAAAAAAA